ACGGUAGCAGGAGAAAGCUUGCUUUCUUGCUGACGAGUGGCGGACGGGUGAGUAAUGCUUGGGGAUCUGUCUUAUGGAGGGGGAUAACGACGGGAAACUGUCGCUAAUACCGCGUAGAGUCGGGAGACGAAAGUGCGGGACCUUAGGGCCGCAUGCCAUGAGAUGAGCCCAAGUGUGAUUAGGUAGUUGGUGGGGUAAAGGCCUACCAAGCCGACGAUCGCUAGCUGGUCUGAGAGGAUGGCCAGCCACACCGGGACUGAGACACGGCCCGGACUCCUACGGGAGGCAGCAGUGGGGAAUAUUGCGCAAUGGGGGCAACCCUGACGCAGCCAUGCCGCGUGAAUGAAGAAGGCCUUCGGGUUGUAAAGUUCUUUCGGUGAUGAGGAAGGUUGGUGUGUUAAUAGCAUGCCAGCUUGACGUUAAAUACAGAAGAAGCAC
rnacentral:rRNA from 1 species